AAAAGUCCUUCCCUAAGACUAUGUCUAAGACAUACAUUAAACAAGCAAACAAAUAAUAUAUCACAUAUAACACAGCCUAGCAAAGAGUAGGUACUCUCAUUACCUACUAUUUCUCGCUCACAUUUUCUCCCUAAAAUGAGUGUUAUUUUUAUGAUAAUUUGUUCUGUACCCUUCAUGCAAACAAUCUUUGAAAUUCUUAUUCCCAAUGUGAUGUGGAAUGACUUGUUCCAUCAUUCCUUAGCAAGGUUAAGGUACUCCAGUAAAUAUUUUCCUUUUCUUAGAUAUAGAUGUGGUAAGAUGUUAAAAGGAGGUGGUUUGUGGCAAGGCAAUGUUUUAAAAUUUAACUUUUUGUUAACAUUUUAAAAUGUAAAUAAAAAUAAUUUCCUGGGUUUUGGAAAACUAAGAUUUGGAGACAUUAGACCCACAUUCUUUUAAGUAAAGCACUUCGUUCAUAUAGAUUGCCCAGCCCCUGUAGGCAUUUGAAUUUACUACCUUGGCUUAAGUACAGUCUUGCAAACUCUGUCCCCUACACUCUUCUAGGUCAGGGGAGAUAAGAAGGAGAGGGAAGAACUAAGUUAUGAUGAAAGCAGCCAUAAGAAGGGGGCAGAAAUGGGGUCAUUUGACCCUUCGUCUUCUCAAAUCAGAAACUCAUUGUGUGGCUGUGCCUUUAAAUUAACCAUUUACUUUCAUGGAGUUACUUCAAUUGCUCUUCUAAGACAUAAAUGAGAUGCCUGUUUCUUUAUAUUCUUACCCUGUGUAGUACUUGCUGGUGGUGGAAAGCCAUGCUACCUCCCUGAAUUCCCAGGAUUGUGAUGCAAGGUCUAAUGCAGUAGUUCUCCAAGUGUGGUCUGUAGACCUUAUGGGGUGGGGGGUCCCUGAGACCGUUUCAGGGAGUUCACAGGUCAAACAAUUUUAAUAAUAAAGCUAACGUGUUAUUUGAUCUUUUCACUGGGUUGACAUUUGCACUGAUGGUGCCAAAGCAAUGUUAUGUAAAACUGCUGAUGUUUUGGGCACCAAACUGGAACAAAACCUUAUAUUCUUUACCACUAAGCAUCUGCCGGUUAAAAAAAAAAAAAAGAAGUUUACCUUAAGAAUGUCCAUCCAUGAUGAAGUGGUAACAAUUUUUAUUAAAUCUCAAUCCUGAAAUUCUUAAGUACUUUUUUAGAUUUCUUUUUGAUGUUCUGUGUGAAGAAAAAGUAUUCCUACUACAUAUCAAAGUGAGAAACUGUGCUUGUGCUAUUGAGUUGCAAGUUAAACUAGCCUUUUAAAAAAUGAAACAUAAUGGACGAUGUGGUGGCUCACGCCUGUAAUCUUUGGGAAGCUGAGGCGGGUGGAUCACGAGGUCUGGAGAUUGAGACCAUCCUGGCCAACAUGGUGAAACCCCGUCUCUACUAAAAAUACAAAAAUUAGCUGGGCGUAGUGGUGCAUGCCUGUAAUCCCAGCUACUUGAGAGGCUGAGGCAGGAGAAUCGCUUGAACCAGGGAGUCGGAGGUUGCAGUGAAUCAAGAUCACGCCACUGCACUCCAGCCUGACGACAGAGCGAGACUCUCUCAAAAAUUAAUAAAUAAAUAAAUAAUAAUUAAAAAAAUAAAAA
rnacentral:lncRNA from 10 species